UACUGAGUCGUCGACACGAGUUGUUGCUGGUCCUCAAACGGGGGACAUGUGCACGCUCUGUUUACACAUCCACUCACACCUGUGCACCCUCUGUAGUUCCCUUCUGUGGUUCUGCAUCUUUACACACACACCGUAAAAAAGUCUUAUGGAAUGUACGUCGCGUUUGACGCAAUAUAAUACAACUUUCAGCAACGGAUCUCUUGGCUCUCGCAUCGAUGAAGAACGCAGCGAAAUGCGAUAAGUAAUGUGAAUUGCAGAAUUCAGUGAAUCAUCGAAUCUUUGAACGCACCUUGCGCCCCUUGGCUAUUCCGAAGGGCAUGCCUGUUUGAGUAUCAUGAACACCUCAACUCCCGUGGUUCGCCACGGUGAGCUUGGACUCUGGGGGUUUUGCUGGCCUGUGGUCGGCUCCUCUCAAAUGAAUUAGCCUGCCAGUGUUUGGUGGCGUCACGGGUGUGAUAAAUAUCUACGCUUGCGAUUGCCCACCAGGUAACCUUCAGCAAUGGGGGUUCGCUGGGGCUCAUAGACGUCUCUUUCAACGUUCG
rnacentral:misc_RNA from 1 species